rnacentral:rRNA from 1 species
UACGUAGGGCGCAAGCGUUGUCCGGAAUUAUUGGGCGUAAAGAGCUCGUAGGCGGCCUGUUACGUCUGCUGUGAAAUCCCGGGGCUUAACCCCGGGCGUGCAGUGGAUACGGGCAGGCUGGAGGCAGGCAGGGGAGAACGGAAUUCCCGGUGUAGCGGUGAAAUGCGCAGAUAUCGGGAGGAACACCGGUGGCGAAGGCGGUUCUCGGGGCCUGUACUGACGCUGAGGAGCGAAAGCGUGGGGAGCGAACAGG